rnacentral:rRNA from 1 species
GGAUUAGAUACCCUGGUAGUCCACGCCGUAAACGAUGUGUGCUAGUUGUCAGGCCCUCAGGGUUUGGUGACGGAGCGAAAGUAUUAAGCACACCGCCUGGGGAGUACGGCCGCAAGGUUAAAACUCAAAGGAAUUGACGGGGACCCGCACAAGCGGUGGAGCAUGUUGUUUAAUUCGAAGCAACGCGAAGAACCUUACCUACACUUAACUAUCCUCCUGGGAUUAGCAGAGAUGCUUUUCUUCGGUUCGGCCGGGGAGUGACUAGGUGCUGCAUGGCUGUCGUCAGCUCGUGCCG